GAUGAACGCUGGCGGCGUGCCUAAUACAUGCAAGUCGAGCGAACAGAUGAGGAGCUUGCUCCUCUGACGUUAGCGGCGGACGGGUGAGUAAUACGUGGAUAACCUACCUAUAAGACUGGGAUAACUUCGGGAAACCGGAGCUAAUACCGGAUAAUAUAUUGAACCGCAUGGUUCAAUAGUGAAAGACGGUUUUGCUGUCACUUAUAGAUGGAUCCGCGCCGCAUUAGCUAGUUGGUAAGGUAACGGCUUACCAAGGCGACGAUGCGUAGCCGACCUGAGAGGGUGAUCGGCCACACUGGAACUGAGACACGGUCCAGACUCCUACGGGAGGCAGCAGUAGGGAAUCUUCCGCAAUGGGCGAAAGCCUGACGGAGCAACGCCGCGUGAGUGAUGAAGGUCUUCGGAUCGUAAAACUCUGUUAUUAGGGAAGAACAAAUGUGUAAGUAACUAUGCACGUCUUGACGGUACCUAAUCAGAAAGCCACGGCUAACUACGUG
rnacentral:rRNA from 1 species